UUCUAUGAUUCUACCCUAAGAGCACCAGAUCCCAUCUGAUCUAGGAAGCUAAGCAGGAUUAGACCUGGUUAACAGUUGGAUGGGAAGGUACAAAGGAAUACCAGGUGCUGUAGGUU
rnacentral:rRNA from 1 species